rnacentral:rRNA from 1 species
ACACUGUACGAGUUUGAUCCUGGCUCAGAGCGAACGCUAGCGGCGGGCUUAACACAUGCAAGUCGAGCGGAGAGCUUCGGCUCUCAGCGGCGAACGGGUGAGUAACACGUAGGUCACGUACCCUUUGAUGGGGAAUAACCUAGGGAAACCUGGGCUAAUACCGCAUAUGUCCUUCGGGAUGAAAGCCUUCGGGCGUCAGAGGAUCGGCCUGCGGCCCAUUAUUUAAUCCUAGUUGGUAGGGUAAUGGCCUACCAAGGGUACGAUGGGUAGCUGGUCUGAGAGGAUGAUCAGCCACACUGGAACUGAGACACGGUUCAGACUCCUACGGGAGGCAGCAGUGGGGAAUAUUGGACAAUGGGCGAAAGCCUGAUCCAGCCACGCCGCGUGGGUGAUGAAGGCCUUCGGGUUGUAAAGCCCUGUCGGGAGGGACGAAUCAAUGACGGUACCUCCCAAGAAAGCACCGGCUAACUCCGUG